rnacentral:rRNA from 1 species
AUUGACGCUGGCGGCAUGCUUUACACAUGCAAGUCGGACGGCAGCACAGAGAAGCUUGCUUCUUGGGUGGCGAGUGGCGAACGGGUGAGUAACAUAUCGGAACGUACCGAGCAGUGGGGGAUAACUAAUCGAAAGAUUAGCUAAUACCGCAUAUUUUCUGAGGAAGAAAGCAGGGGACCAUUUGGCCUUGCGCUGUUUGAGCGGCCGAUAUCUGAUUAGCUAGUUGGUGGGGUAAAGGCCUACCAAGGCGACGAUCAGUAGCGGGUCUGAGAGGAUGAUCCGCCACACUGGGACUGAGACACGGCCCAGACUCCUACGGGAGGCAGCAGUGGGGAAUUUUGGACAAUGGGUCGCAAGCCUGCAUCCAGCCCAUGCCGUCGUGUCUGAAGAAGGUCCUUCGGGUUGUAAAGGCACUUUUGUCAGGGAAGCCAAAGGGCGGGGUUCACUACACCCUGUCUGCAUGCACGGUCACAUCGUAAGUACA